CUAGUCUCACGUGAGGUCCGGUCCGGUCCGGUCCGGUCCAGAAGAAGUGACAUAAACAUGAUUUCUACAAUGUAUUGUUCUACAUCAGUGUCGGACACAUCAGCUCCACUUCUGUUAAUGUAGAAACAAUCCGUGUUCAUGCGCUCUGAGAUGAAAAACUCAAAGACUCGACACAUGAACGUCUUGCUGUGAGUUACCAUGGGAACAUGUGUUCAUCAAGCUUAGUUUUCACCUUCUUUUUUUCUUUUACUGGCAGAAAUGUGCCUCCAUACGACAGUCCAUUGUUCUAUGUGGACAAACUGGACUUGUCUGUACAGUGCUCCUCACCUCCACCUGAUCCAACACCUUUGGGAUCAGCUGAAACCUGGACUCUGAGCUCGGUCUUAUCCUCCAAACAUCGGAGGCUGACCUCACUAAUCCCUGCAGCUGGGCUCCAAAAUCUGGCGGACAUCCUGUAGUCAGUGGUUGUUACAGCGGCAGAUAACAAGAACUACAUGUCCAACAAUCACAUAUGAGUGUAAUGUUAGUGUGUCUACAUAUAUUUGGCAGUAUGGUGUCCACCUCUGUCACCUAGUCUAAAGUAACUGCUCUUGAGACUUUGCCAAAAGCUGCUCUGGGUUCAUUUUUAUCUACGUGUGUUUCUAAUAUUGUUUUAUUCUUCACAUACGCAAAUAAGGAGGUCAAAACAUUAGAAACACCUUUGCAUCAACACAAGAGACCACCGCAAAGCAGAGCCACAGAGCCUGCCCUGAGAACUGGGUCGGCACACACACAUCUGAAGAAACCUCAGGGACUGCAGGGAUCACAGGUGUUUCCUAUUUUUCUAUUGAUCUGCUCUUUUAUCCUCUAUGUCUGUUGUGAGAUGCGUCAUACUUCUCGAAUUAGCUCUGUGACUUUACGGCACAAAAGCCUGCGUGUCUGAGCUAAUUACCAAGCUGCAUCUAAGUCCAAACAUGUUACACACUACAAGGUGCAUUAUGAUCAUGUGCCACAGGAGGGCGCCUCGGCUGAGCUCAGAUCAGCAGCAGCAGCACACUCAGGUUGUGUGUGAUGAUCUCGAGCUUAACAAUGAAGGAUGAGGUUGUUCCUCCAUAGAGAGGAGUCACUUCAUCAUGAAAGAAAAGGCUUCAUUUUUACAGAGGUUCAGUGUGUCACUUUAUCAUAAUAAGACCGUACAACAAAAAGAUAUAUAAGUGGAUGAUCAAAUAAUUACAAAAAUUAUAAAAGGUGGGGUGCAGAGGAUGAAAAUGAAAGAAGCUGCUCUGGAGUCUGUUGGUGCAGCAGUGGUGACUCCUGUACCGCUUGUCAAGUGCAGCCCAGUCACCAGCAACCACAGUUCAGUUUCUACAUUUAUAAGUGUGUGACACCUCUGGAUUUUUUUUUUCUCAAGACAAUUUCCAGCCCGGGUUUGUGGUGACACAAACGUACAUUAUUGGCAAGAAGUUGCAACGUCUCCAUCUGUGAUGGCGACGACCAAAACAGGUGUGUUAAGCCAGAACAUGAUCGUUUCUGAACGCGAACCUAGUGUUUUUUUUAAUUCCCGAACCUAAUCAGUUUAUUAGCACAGUGGUGUCACAACAUAAAAUACAGAACUGAACCUAAAGAAAGUUACAACAUAUUGAUGUAUUUUAGUGACACAUCUCGUGCCGAUUUUGUUUCCAGUCAAGAUGCUUUCUAUCGGUGUACAGCGUUUUCCAGUAAAGACUUUUGUUUGUUUGUGAUGAUUAAAUAAUGUUCUACUGUUUUUCAC